rnacentral:rRNA from 1 species
UACGGGGGAGCAAGCGUUGUUCGGAUUUACUGGGCGUAAAGGGCGCGUAGGCGGCGCAACAAGUCACUUGUGAAAUCUCCGGGCUUAACCCGGAGCGGUCAAGUGAUACUGUCGUGCUAGAGUGCGGAAGGGGCUACUGGAAUUCUCGGUGUAGCGGUGAAAUGCGUAGAUAUCUGGAGGAACACCGGUGGCGAAGGCGGCAUCCUGGACCGACACUGACGCUGAGGGAGCGAAAGCCAGGGGA